rnacentral:rRNA from 1 species
AGAGUUUGAUCCUGGCUCAGAACUAACGCUGGCGGCGUGGCUUACGCAUGCAAGUCGAACGUCAAAGUCCGCAAGGACGAGUAAGUGGCGAAAGGGUGAGUAAUACUCGGGCAAUCUGCCCCUGGGACGAGGAUAGCCGCGGGAAACUGCGGGUAAUACUCGACGGGCUCACGAUGGCUGAGGCUUUCGCGAGUAAAGGGUGGGGAUCCGCAAGGACCUUCCGCCCAGGGAGGAGCUCGAGCCCUAUCAGGUAGUUGGCGGGGUAACGGCCCACCAAGGCUACGAUCAGUAUCCGGCCUGAGAGGGCGGACGGACACACUGGGACUGAGACACGGCCCAGACUCCUACGGGAGGCAGCAGUGGGGAAUUGUUCGCAAUGGGCGCAAGCCUGACGACGCAACGCCGCGUGGAGGAUGAAGGUCUUCGGAUUGUAAACUCCUGUUGCUCGGGACGAAAAGCUUCGACCUAACACGUCGAAGUCUGACGGUACCGGGUGAGGAAGCCCCGGCUAACUCUGUGCCAGCAGCCGCGGUAAUACA